rnacentral:RNase_P_RNA from 1 species
UGAGUAAGACGGACGGUCGCGUGAGCAGGAACUAUCCUGUUCAUGAGGAAAGUCCGGGCUCCAUAGGGCAGGGUGCCAGAUAACGUCUGGCGAAGGUGACUUCAGGGAAAGUGCAACAGAAACACACCGCCGAUCGGCGCAAUCGCCGAGGUAAGGGUGAAAUGGUGAGGUAAGAGCUCACCGGCGGUAUGGUAACAUACCGGCCGUGCAAACCCCACCCGGAGCAAGACCAAGAUAGGGAGGAACUGCCGAAAGGCAAGUUCCUGAAAGGCGGCGGCCCGUCGCUUCCCGAGAGGUAGGUCGCUUGAGCCUGUUGGUGACAGCAGGCCUAGAUAGAUGAUCGUCUAAUACAGAACCCGGCUUACAGUCUUACUCACAUU